GUGAAUCAUCAAAUUUUUGAACGCAAAUUGCGCCUUUUUCGGAAGGCAUGUCUGUUUGAGGGCACCAUUUAACAAAUAAUGUGCAUUUCGUGUGCACACGUUGAUGAGCUUUCCAAAAUUAUGUAUUAUUAUUUUUGGUGGCGCAUAAUAAACACCGCGAUGCUUUUUUUCAGUUCAGUGGUAGUAAAUUUUUUUUUUCUUUGGGUGUUGAAAAAGGGUGAUC
rnacentral:misc_RNA from 1 species